rnacentral:misc_RNA from 1 species
GAAACGCGAUAAGUAAUGUGAAUUGCAGAAUUCAGUGAAUCAUCGAAUCUUUGAACGCACAUUGCGCCCGCUAGCUAACCUGGCGGGCAUGCCUGUUCGAGCGUCAUUUCAACCCUCAAGCCCCCGGGCUUGGUGCUGGGGAUCGGCCGUCACGGGCCGGCCCCGAAAUAGAUUGGCGGUCCCGCCGUCGCCUCCUCUGCGUAGUAGCAACACCUCGCACUGGGACGCGGCGCGGCCAUGCCGUAAAACCCCAACUUCUGAAAGGUUGACCUCGGAUCAGGUAGGAAUACCCGCUGAACUUAA